rnacentral:rRNA from 1 species
GAUGAACGCUGGCGGCGUGCUUAACACAUGCAAGUCGAACGAAGCGGCUUCGAAUGAACCUUCGGGUGAUUGAGAAGCUGGCUUAGUGGCGGACGGGUGAGUAACGCGUGGGUAACCUGCCGUAUGCAGGGGGACAACAGUUGGAAACGACUGCUAAUACCGCAUAAGCGCACAGCAUCGCAUGAUGCAGUGUGAAAAGCCGAGACGGCAUACGAUGGACCCGCGUCUGAUUAGCUGGUUGGUGAGGUAACGGCCCACCAAGGCGACGAUCAGUAGCCGACCUGAGAGGGUGACCGGCCACAUUGGGACUGAGACACGGCCCAA